rnacentral:lncRNA from 1 species
CCACUUUCUUCCUCCCCUUCCCCAAACAGUGCUGUUAACUAUGGAGUCAGGUCUGACUGGAUUGAAAGGUUCUUUAGGUUCUACACCAAGACCAUGCUGCUCUAGAGGGAUGCAUCAUACUUGGUAGACAUCUUGAUAGAAUCUACUCUUAGAUAUCAGGUAAGGAAUAUAAUGAACAUUUUAGGGCAGAUAGAAGCUUAGAAAAUAAUGCAAUACAAUUAUGGCCAGAAUUGGAUGGAAUUCAACUACAUUAAAAAGUAGGAAGUUUAGUAAAGUAUAGAAGCAGCAUCAAAACUGGAGGUUCGUGGAAUGAUUUGACAGAGGUACUCAUGAGAGGUAAGGAACUGAAUAACAGGCUUCAGAGAUUUGAUGUCAAUGAAUAGAUUGGAGGUUCAAGAAAGGCAAAUGAAGUAAAUCUCCUUUGUCAUAUUCAUGGUCUACAUGAUUAUAUAUGAAAUUUAAGUUCAACCAUAUUUUCAUUUCUCCUUUAUUACUAUUCACACAAAUUAUAAGGUGGGAGACAAUUAUGUGAUAUUCCAAC